rnacentral:snRNA from 1 species
AGGCUGGUCAGGCUGAACCACCUCCUCCUCUGGACUGGGUCCGUCCUUUGAGAGGUCACUGAGGAACACCUGCGAAUUCCCCAAAUGUGGGAAUCUCGACUGCAUAAUUUACGGUAGUGGGGGACUGCGUUCGCGCUCUCCCCUG